GAUAUGUCUAAUUUGCAAAUCAAUGACGGGAUGGCUUGGGGUAGCAGCUUGGUGACACAGAGGCCCUUGCUUCUCUCUUUUGUUUAUUAUGGUAAGGAGGGCGCAAACCCUGAGAGUUAUCUGCGGAGUUUGAGGGUAACAAAGGGAUGAAUACAACAACCUAAAGACCAGUGUUUUAACGUGACUGUGUACAGAAAGAAGUGCCGGGACGCCAUAGAGAAGCAAAAAAAAUUGACGGCUGAAGGAAUACCCAGGUAUCAGACACUGGGAGUGUGGGAACAUUCUCUGAAGGAUAAUUGCUGACCCUGGGGCUAGCAAAAGUGAAGCCAUGCUGCAUUGCUGUGAUUAAAGGGACUUACUGCCAUGUGUGGGGCUGGGUAAACUAUGUAUAAAUUACUGGUACAAGGGAGUAAGGAAGGAUCCAGAUUCCAGGAGAUUCCAGGAAAAUCCGGCCCAUUAAUAGUCUGUUGUUUGUUACGUCCUGCAUCGACCUUGUGCCCCGAGUGGAGCCAGCAGCUUGAGUCGCUCUUUCCCAGGGAUCAAGCAACAAAUAUGCGCACAACUGCUGGGCUAAUCAGCGCUGCGCUGGAUCAAGAUACACGCUUCAGCUGAGAAUGCUUGCAGUCUCAUCCACAGUAUCCUGCUGCUGUUUUAUUGACUGCUUUUGCAUCACCAUUUCGAGGGCUGUUAGUUAUUUUAACAAGCAGGCUUCCCUCAGUCUCAUGUUGGUACUGACUGAGUGGCUUUGCCAGCACGGUAAAUGCGAACCGGUAGACCCAUUCUUGUAAUGACCCGCACUGGUACCAAACCGACCUGGUACCAAACCGACCUGGUACCAUCCUGGUUCCGACCCUGUACUGUACCGUACUGAACCGGUGCUACAGUCACCAAACUGGUACUGAACAGACCAGGUGCCGACCCAGAACAGUACCACCAUUACGAAGUGGACCACCAUCACAAAGCGCUUUACGAGAUGUAGUAACAACAAGAAAAU